GUGGCCGUGGCCGAGUGGUUAGGCGGCGGUCUGUGGAACCGUCCACGAGGAUUCAAUUUCCUCCGGCCACCCCA
rnacentral:tRNA from 1 species